AUCUUCUGUCUCAGGUGCAAUAACCACAUUACCUCAUUCUGCUGUCUUCCGCAUCACUAACAUGGUAUUUUUUCCUAGAUUCUCGGAGAACCAGGAUGUCUUCAUCGGAUGUACUCCUGCCCUUGAGCAUCACAAUAUCACAGGAUCAUUGAGGCCUCAACUGUGACCAGAGGCAAAAUAGAGUUACGUUUCCGCAUGCCUUAGCCAGCUCUUGCGCAAGGAACCUCCUGACGAGACAGCAAGACCAGUGAGAUGUCAAGUGUGUCCUACAAAAAGGCCAGGAAAGGAAAACCUAUGUGCAGUCAAGCCGGCCAUGGUGGCACACACCUGUAAGCCCAGCACUUGGGAGGCUGAGGCAGGAGGAUUGCUGUGAGU